GGGCCCUUAGUAAAGUGGUAUUACGCGGCAUUCGCAUUGCCGAGGCGCGAGUCCGAUUCUCGCAGGGUCCA
rnacentral:tRNA from 1 species